GAACCUCAUCUCUUUUCAUCUCCUCUCCACAGAACUGGAGCUCUGAAGAACUCAUCUCUGUCAUCUCUUUCAAUCUAAAACCACUGAAAUCUACCAGUUUUUAAUUUCUUAAACUCGCAAAUACAAGGAUGAACCCGUUGAGGAGAAUGUGAUGAGUUGAGCCGGUGUUGUGUAAGAAGAGUUAGAGUAAUCAUUGAAGAGAAGGUGAUGGUGAUGGUGAUAAGUUGCAGUUGAUGAAGAUUGAAGCUCGGGUUAGAUUUAAGCAGAAGGGUUUCUGUUUAAUGAAUCUGUAAAGGCGAUCGAGAGGAAUUAGGGUGGUACUAAUAAUGGAAGAACUGCUAUUAGGGUUUGAGUUGAUCUUAAGAAUUGAUGGUGGUGAUUCUGUUAUUUUGAAGAAUAAAUUUAGAGAAAUUCAAAAUUAGGGUUUCUUGUUCUUCCUCAAUACUUCAAUUGAAGUUGUUAUUAAUGCUUGAUGCACUGUAGGUGAAAUCUGGUGGAGAAAUUGCAGUAGCAGAAGACCUAGAAGGAGUUCUGAGAUAUUGAAGUUAAGGUUUGAUGCAGGGAAUGUAUGGAUUGUAGUACAAACUUGUGAUAGAGGAUAGGUUUCUGUUGGUGGUGUUUGAGGUGCUGAGAAGAUGUUGGAUGAGAUGAUGUUGUGUGUAGGAGUUGAUUGUGCUAGAUGGGAACUGCUGGUGGUAUGUGAAGUUAAGAUGACGGCAGGUUAUGGCAUUGCAGGUAAUGAUGAUGGAGUUUUUGGUGUUGAUUAACCAUUGAGCAUGGGCUAGAUAAGGAGAGAAAUCUCAACAAUGAAGCUGAUAAAGCACCCAUACAUCGUUCAAGUGAUGGGAAUCAUAGUGCUUGCUUGUGUCUCUAGGCUAUCUCUAUUUUAUUUUUUAUCAUCUUUGUAAAUGAUAUAUUCUCUUGGUUUAGGUGAUGGGAAGCAAGGCAAAGAGUUUUAUCGUUUUGGAGUUUGUCACUGGAGGGGAGCUCUUUGAAAAAGUUGUGACAAAGAAAGAACAUGGGUUGUCUCAAAUUCAAGCUACUGCCAAUAAAAAAGGUUCACAUGACUUGGUACUGGCUUACUGCCAAUGGUUUUCAAGGAUUAAUGGAAAUAUGUGUUGUUUCUGUUAUCUCUUUUGUAUUGUCUUGUAUUUUUGAUUGUUCGUAACUAACAAAUCAGUACCUUGUUUUGGAUGAGGAUGACAAAAUGUUGGACAUGGGGUUCGAGCCACAUAUAAGAGAGAUGAUGUAUUACCUUUUUGUUGAAAGGAAGGUGUGAUGAAGUUGCAGAAGCCCUGAUAGCGCAAGGUCUGCACGUUGUUUCUCUUCAUGCUGGUCGUAGCCAAAGUGAAAGAAGAGAAGCAGGUCUUCGCAAUUUUCGAAAUAGCUUAGCUAAUAUUCUGGUCGCCAUAGAUGUUGCAUCUCGUGGUUUAGAUGUCACUAGAGUUGCUCAUGUGAUCAACCUUGAUCUUACCAAGAUAUAUUUUUCUUCUUCACUAAGUUAAUUGAAUGAUGCUCUGUUGUGAGAUCAGAAAGAUUGGAGAACAAAGCAGCAAAGCAGCAGCCAUUAGGUCCCUUAGCAGCUACAAGAUUUGUAAGUUAUAAUUAGUGUCUCCUUAUAGAGAUUUAAGUUGGAAGAACAUAGGAAUUUCAGAACUUUAUACAAACUAAACUUAGGAACUAAGUAUGUUUCUGUGUAUGUCCAUUAAAUGAAUGACAUAGUUUGUAUCAAAUACUCACUCAUACUUGUUGUUAAAAUCAAUUGAAGAGUCCAUUUUCAU